UAGGGAAUCUUCCGCAAUGGGCGAAAGCUUGACGGAGCAACGCCGCGUGAGCGAUGAAGGUCUUCGGAUCGUAAAACUCUGUUAUUAGGGAAGAACAAAUGUGUAAGUAACUAUGCACGUCUUGACGGUACCUAAUCAGAAAGCCACGGCUAACUACGUGCCAGCAGCCGCGGUAAUACGUAGGUGGCAAGCGUUAUCCGGAAUUAUUGGGCGUAAAGCGCGCGUAGGCGGUUUUUUAAGUCUGAUGUGAAAGCCCACGGCUCAACCGUGGAGGGUCAUUGGAAACUGGAAAACUUGAGUGCAGAAGAGGAAAGUGGAAUUCCAUGUGUAGCAGUGAAAUGCGCAGAGAUAUGGAGGAACACCAGUGGCGAAGGCGACUUUCUGGUCUGUAACUGACGCUGAUGUGCGAAAGCGUGGGGAUCAAACAGG
rnacentral:rRNA from 1 species